rnacentral:rRNA from 1 species
CCGGGAUUUCAAGGCCGAGAGCUGAUGACGAGUUGCCUUCAGGCGACGAAGUGGUUGAUACCAUGCUUCCAAGAAAAGCUCCUAAGCUUCAGAUAACUGGGAACCGUACCCCAAACCGACACAGGUGGUUAGGUAGAGAAUACCAAGGCGCUUGAGAGAACUCGGGUGAAGGAACUAGGCAAAAUGGCACCGUAACUUCGGGAGAAGGUGCGCCGGCGAGGGUGAAGGACUUGCUCCGUAAGCCCAUGCCGGUCGAAGAUACCAGGCCGCUGCGACUGUUUAUUAAAAACACAGCACUCUGCAAACACGAAAGUGGACGUAUAGGGUGUGACGCCUGCCCGGUGCCGGAAGGUUAAUUGAUGGGGUUAGCGCAAGCGAAGCUCUUGAUCGAAGCCCCGGUAAACGGCGGCCGUAACUAUAACGGUCCUAAGGUAGCGAAAUUCCUUGUCGGGUAAGUUCCGACCUGCACGAAUGGCGUAACGAUGGCGGCGCUGUCUCCACCCGAGACUCAGUGAAAUUGAAAUCGCUGUGAAGAUGCAGUGUAUCCGCGGCUAGACGGAAAGACCCCGUGAACCUUUACUAUAGCUUUGCACUGGACUUUGAAUUUGCUUGUGUAGGAUAGGUGGGAGGCUUUGAAGUGGGGACGCCAGUUCUCAUGGAGCCAUCCUUGAAAUACCACCCUGGCAACUUUGAGGUUCUAACUCAGGUCCGUCAUCCGGAUCGAGGACAGUGUAUGGUGGGUAGUUUGACUGGGGCGGUCUCCUCCCAAAGAGUAACGGAGGAGUACGAAGGUGCGCUCAGACCGGUCGGAAAUCGGUCGUAGAGUAUAAAGGCAAAAGCGCGCUUGACUGCGAGACAAACACGUCGAGCAGGUACGAAAGUAGGUCUUAGUGAUCCGGUGGUUCUGUAUGGAAGGGCCAUCGCUCAACGGAUAAAAGGUACUCCGGGGAUAACAGGCUGAUACCGCCCAAGAGUUCAUAUCGACGGCGGUGUUUGGCACCUCGAUGUCGGCUCAUCACAUCCUGGGGCUGAAGCCGGUCCCAAGGGUAUGGCUGUUCGCCAUUUAAAGUGGUACGCGAGCUGGGUUUAGAACGUCGUGAGACAGUUCGGUCCCUAUCUGCCGUGGACGUUUGAGAUUUGAGAGGGGCUGCUCCUAGUACGAGAGGACCGGAGUGGACGAACCUCUGGUGUUCCGGUUGUCACGCCAGUGGCAUUGCCGGGUAGCUAUGUUCGGAAGAGAUAACCGCUGAAAGCAUCUAAGCGGGAAACUUGCCUCAAGAUGAGAUCUCACUGGGAUCUUGAAUCCCCUAAAGGGCCGUCGAAGACUACGACGUUGAUAGGUUGGGUGUGUAAGCGCUGUGAGGCGUUGAGCUAACCAAUACUAAUUGCCCGUGAGGCUUGACCAUAUAACACCCAAGCAAUU